GCUGACUUUGUACCUUGUUUUGAAUGUUCUAUUUAAAGAAUUCAUUGGUGUUGACGUCUUAUUGAAACUAUCCAAUGUUCUAUUACGUACUUCCGAGGACAUCAAUUUCUUCCGUAGUUCAAUGUUCUCCAUCUUCAGCUUGUUAUACUUAUCUUUACAGAAUUGUAUACUUUGUGUAACAUUGUAGUAGAAACGUUGUAUCACAAUUUUCAUUUGAUUAUAUUGAAAGCCAAAAAUUGUGUUCAGAGAUUCCAACGAUUCAUUAAUUGGUACAAACAAAUUUUGUACUCUGGAUAAAGAAGGUUGUUGCAAUUCUACAGAGAAGAUGUCUACUUGUUGGCAUUGCGGGCAAUGUUUCUCAGCUGCAUUGCAAACAAAUUUGUAGUUAUCAAAGUAGAAAUGUUUAUUACACAGGGUAUAACAUUUUACUGGAACAUCUCAAGUAUUCAGUUUAUCAUAAGUAUUAAAAAAAAACAUUCAGUGGAAAAGUUAUGGGCUUGAAAUGGCAAACGUUGUGGUAAGCAAACAAUUUCAAUAUCGAUGCAUGUUCAAAAGAGAGUGAACACUUUUAUUACAUAUAACAUCUAUCUUAGUGAUAAUAUAAUAUAAAUUACAUUGUAUAUGUAUUGUAAUAAAUAUUUUUAAUGUUGUGUAACUUCUUUUCCAAAUCAUUACAA